rnacentral:lncRNA from 1 species
ACUGGAGUAAUCCAUAUGAUGGAUUUGAAAAAUUAAAAUAUAAUAUGGAUGAUCAUAUUAGGUUGACAGUUAAACCUUAGAUCACAUUGAGUAUUUGGGUCAAGAGGAUGAAUUAUACGAUAACCAUAUGUCAAUAGAUUUUUGAAUAUUGCUUUGCAAUCUUUCGACCUAUCUGGAUGUCAGAUACUAUUGCUAGAUGAUCAUUUUGAUUGGUAUA